rnacentral:rRNA from 1 species
UACGAAGGGGGCUAGCGUUGCUCGGAAUCACUGGGCGUAAAGGGUGCGUAGGCGGGUCUUUAAGUCAGGGGUGAAAUCCUGGAGCUCAACUCCAGAACUGCCUUUGAUACUGAGGAUCUUGAGUUCGGGAGAGGUGAGUGGAACUGCGAGUGUAGAGGUGAAAUUCGUAGAUAUUCGCAAGAACACCAGUGGCGAAGGCGGCUCACUGGCCCGAUACUGACGCUGAGGCACGAAAGCGAUGGGGAGGCAAACAGGGAU